AAGACUAUACUUUCAGGGAUCAUUUCUAUAGUCUGUGACUGGAGAAGUUUCUCUGAACGUGUAGAGCACCCGAAACCACGAGGAGGAGACGCAGUGUUCUCUCCUGAGCGUGAAGCCGGCAUUUGGUGUUGCCUGUGCAGCUGCCACUUGCCCUUGAUGAUCGUUCUCCUCUCUCUGGUUGAGAGAGGCAGAGGGAGAGAACACCGUCUGAGUGGUU
rnacentral:snoRNA from 1 species